rnacentral:lncRNA from 1 species
AAGAUUCUCACUCGGGAUGACCUUACAGUCCUUACACAACGCCCUAUCCCCUUUCCUAAGCAACAAAAAGUCAAUCUGGGUCCUGGCUAUCGCGCUUCGAAAGGUGAUCAGGUGAUCGUCCUUCUUCGGGAAGCCCGAGUUCACCACCACCAGCCCAAAGGACCUCGCAAACUCCAAUAGAGUAGCCCCCUCUUCAUUUCUCUCCCCAAAACCAAAAACA